GCCUGGGUAGCUCAGUCGGUUAAGCAUCUGACUUUGGCUCAGGUCAUGAUCUCAUCGUCCGUGAGUUCGAGCCCCGCGUCGGGCU
rfam:Felis catus isolate Cinnamon breed Abyssinian chromosome B4, whole genome shotgun sequence.